rnacentral:rRNA from 1 species
CCUACGGGAGGCAGCAGUGGGGAAUUUUGGACAAUGGGCGAAAGCCUGAUCCAGCAAUGCCGCGUGAGUGAAGAAGGCCUUCGGGUUGUAAAGCUCUUUUGUCAGGGAAGAAACGGUGAGAGCUAAUAUCUCUUGCUAAUGACGGUACCUGAAGAAUAAGCACCGGCUAACUACGUGCCAGCAGCCGCGGUAAUACGUAGGGUGCAAGCGUUAAUCGGAAUUACUGGGCGUAAAGCGUGCGCAGGCGGUUUUGUAAGUCUGAUGUGAAAUCCCCAGGCUCAACCUGGGAAUUGCAUUGGAGACUGCAAGGCUAGAAUCUGGCAGAGGGGGGUUAGAAUUCCACGUGUAGCAGUGAAAUGCGUAGAUAUGUGGAGGAACACCGAUGGCGAAGGCAGCCCCCUGGGUCAAGAUUGACGCUCAUGCACGAAAGCGUGGGGAGCAAACAGGAUUAGAUACCCUGGUAGUCCACGCCCUAAACGAUGUCUACUAGUUGUCGGGUCUUAAUUGACUUGGUAACGCAGCUACGCGUGAGUAGACCGCCGNGGGAGGUACGGUCGCGAGAGUUAAACUACAAUAGAGUUAGUACGGACGUGAGACGUUGCCGACGGACGACGACGAGGGGAGGUAGGGNG